rnacentral:tRNA from 1 species
UGCUGGCUAGCUCAGUUGGUAGAUCAUGAGACUCUUAAUCUCAGAUUUGUGGGUUCAAGCCCCACGUUGGUCA